rnacentral:rRNA from 1 species
GAGUUUGAUCCUGGCUCAGAUUGAACGCUGGCGGCAGGCUUAACACAUGCAAGUCGAACGGUAACAUGAGUGCUUGCACUUGAUGACGAGUGGCGGACGGGUGAGUAAAGUAUGGGGAUCUGCCGAAUGGAGGGGGACAACAGUUGGAAACGACUGCUAAUACCGCAUAAUGUUGAGAGACCAAAGCAUGGGACCUUCGGGCCAUGUGCCAUUUGAUGAACCCAUAUGGGAUUAGCUAGUUGGUAGGGUAAAGGCUUACCAAGGCGACGAUCUCUAGCUGGUCUGAGAGGAUGACCAGCCACACUGGAACUGAGACACGGUCCAGACUCCUACGGGAGGCAGCAGUGGGGAAUAUUGCACAAUGGGGGAAACCCUGAUGCAGCCAUGCCGCGUGUACGAAGAAGGCCUUCGGGUUGUAAAGUACUUUCGGUAAUGAGGAAGGUGGUGUAUCUAAUAGGUGCAUCAAUUGACGUUAAUUACAGAAGAAGCACCGGCUAACUCCGUGCCAGCAGCCGCGGUAAUACGGAGGGUGCGAGCGUUAAUCGGAAUGACUGGGCGUAAAGGGCAUGUAGGCGGAUAAUUAAGUUAGGUGUGAAAGCCCUGGGCUCAACCUAGGAAUUGCACUUAAAACUGGUUAACUAGAGUAUUGUAGAGGAAGGUAGAAUUCCACGUGUAGCGGUGAAAUGCGUAGAGAUGUGGAGGAAUACCGGUGGCGAAGGCGGCCUUCUGGACAGAUACUGACGCUGAGAUGCGAAAGCGUGGGGAGCAAACAGGAUUAGAUACCCUGGUAGUCCACGCUGUAAACGAUGUCGAUUUGGAGUUAGUUGCCCUGAGUGAUGGGCUCCGAAGCUAACGCGAUAAAUCGACCGCCUGGGGAGUACGGCCGCAAGGUUAAAACUCAAAUGAAUUGACGGGGGCCCGCACAAGCGGUGGAGCAUGUGGUUUAAUUCGAUGCAACGCGAAGAACCUUACCUGGUCUUGACAUCCACAGAAUCUUGCAGAGAUGCGAGAGCGCCUUCGGGAACUGUGAGACAGGUGCUGCAUGGCUGUCGUCAGCUCGUGUUGUGAAAUGUUGGGUUAAGUCCCGCAACGAGCGCAACCCUUAUCCUUUGUUGCCAUCGGUUCGGCCGGGAACUCAAAGGAGACUGCCGUUGAUAAAGCGGAGGAAGGUGGGGACGACGUCAAGUCAUCAUGGCCCUUACGACCAGGGCUACACACGUGCUACAAUGGCGUAUACAAAGGGAGGCGA